CGUAGCUCAGCCCGGAUAGAGCGUUUGCCUCCGAAGCAAAAGGCCAUGGGUUCAAAUCCCAUUGG
rnacentral:tRNA from 1 species